rnacentral:rRNA from 1 species
GACGAACGCUGGCGGCAGGCUUAACACAUGCAAGUCGAACGAUAUAGUGGCAGACGGGUGAGUAACGCGUGGAAACGUGCCUUUCACUACGGAAUAGCUUUUGGAAACGAAAGGUAAUACCGUAUACGCCCUCCGGGGGAAAGAUUUAUCGGUGAAAGAUCGGUCCGCGUUAGAUUAGCUAGUUGGUGAGGUAAUGGCUCACCAAGGCGACGAUCUAUAGCUGGUCUGAGAGGAUGAUCAGUCACACUGGGACUGAGACACGGCCCAG